rnacentral:miRNA from 1 species
GACGUCGAAUGUCGACGUCAUAAACACCAAAGUUGAUGGUGUUUAUUACGUCGCAUAUCGACGUCAUAAAAACCAAACUUGGUGUUGUUUUUGACGUCGUAUAUCGACGUCAUAAACACCAAACUUGAUGGUGUUUAUGACGUCGUAUAUCGACGCCAUAAACACGAAACUUGAUGGUGUUUAUGAAGUCGCAAAUCGACGCCAUAAUCACCAAACUUGAUGGUGUUUAUGACGUCGAAUGUCGACGUC